CUUGACGAUCAUAGAGCGUUGGAACCACCUGAUCCCUUCCCGAACUCAGAAGUGAAACGACGCAUCGCCGAUGGUAGUGUGGGGUCUCC
rnacentral:rRNA from 1 species